rnacentral:lncRNA from 1 species
UUAGGUUGAAAGGGAUUUAGAUAAGUAGUAGUAUAGAAUAUAAGAAAGCUUUAAGUUGAAGCUUAAUUUAAUGAUGGAAAGGAAUAAAAUAGCAUAAGAAGUUCUCCAUAUCAGAAGUAUUUUAAAUAAGAAGGAACAAUGAGCAGGAGCAGCCAUCGUUGAACGCAUUUGUAAGUGAAAAUUCCGCCUUCCGCCGUCUCCCUCUCCCUCGCCCUCUCCGCCCCCGCCGGUGUAUUUGCCCUAUUUUGAAAGGUUUGUGAUUAUUCAUAAACUUUUGGUGCAUUUUUCUUAUUUUUCUCAUUUAUUUCAUAAUAGAUCCGUGUUUUGUUUAUCAGUCGUUCACAAUCGCUGCUCCGGCUGUAAUACCCCGGAUUUUCGAUCCUAGGUUUCAUAUGAUCCUAUUGAUAUUAUUAGGAUAUGAUAGGUCCCUAAUUCCCGGUUAAAAAGAAUAAUUAUCCUAGCGAUGAUUUAAUGAGUCUUGAUGCCUAGGUUUUCUCUUAAGGAAGACGGUAAAUAAGAAGAUGUAUUUUUUUUUUUUCGUGUGAUAUUGAUUUAAAUCAAUAUGUAUAUAUAUGUAUACUUUUUCAUUUCAAAGUAUGAAAAACAAAGUGCAUAUUUAUUUUAAUAUGUGUCUGUUUUUAAGACGGGUUGAGCGAAAACGGACUCGUAGAAUGGGCCAAAGGGUGGGCCGAUUAUUUGACAAGCCUUGGGCCUAUUUUAGGCCAUAUUAUAGAGUUAAAUACCAGCCCAAUUCAGCCCCCAAACCCUCCUAAAAAUCUGAUUUACUUUAAAAUUCAAAAGGGGACAAGAACUAUCAUUACUUGGCAUUGAAACUACCAAAUUGCAUGCCACAAGGUACCUUCCAUUGGUGGCAGCCACCCCCACCCUAUCCUACCCCAAAUUUUCGUGCAUAUCCUCCCCAAAAGCAAGAGUGGCUGCAAACUUCUCCCAUUCCAUUCAUUUUCACUCCAAGAAAGUGCUAAGGCAAGAAAGUGCUCUCACUCUCUUCUCCCCUCUCCAUUUUCGUCCCUCCACAUCUCCCCCACUCCCAAGACUCUUCUCCCACCACUAUCACACUCCAUAGAAGCCCUUUAAGCCCCAAGAGAAGUAUCAAAGAAAGGGAGAGCGUGGGAAACCUAGGGCGUAAUGUUAGAGUGAAGAUUGUGCUUCGACGGUAAGUUUUCUUUUGUCUUCUCAACUGAAAAUACUUUAAGACCAUGGAUUUUUACACAUAUGUGUGCUAUAUUGUGUGAGGAUAUGUUUAAUGGUUUUGGAUGUUUAUUUUGGUAGAGUUUAUUGGGUGAAAAACCGUGCAUGUGGUAAAGCAGCGAAUCUGCCAUAGCUACACUGCUCCGACAGUGUUUUGCAAGGCGAUUCCAGCCAUCCAAACGGUACCCAAAAAUUCCCAAAUUAAUUGUGUAUCAUGUUUAAUAUGUUUCUAUUCUAUGGUAAAUUUCAGAAUAUUUGAGCUCGUAUGUUUAUUUAUGAAUUUUUGAACAUCACUGCCUGUCUGGAAUGUAUUUCUGGUAAACAAUCUUUGGGAGGCCAUAAGUCAAGUUUCAAUUGGUGAAAACCUUUGAAACUUGAAUAUGUCUCUCUAGACUCCUGUAUCUUUCUUUUGGUAUCGGCCUCACCAUUUUUGAGUAAGGAAAACAGCCGGUAUAAAUUCUUGAAGUCUAGUUCUUAUUCUUUGUACCAUCCAGUAGGUUUUACAAACCUACGACUUUGAGGUGGAAAAUGACAACCUAAAUCUUUGAUUCUCAAGCCUAUUUUUCUACUGAAUAUUCAUUGAUAGUAUUUUUUUUUUGGGGAAGAUUACCAGUGGCUGUUGAUGGGGUUUUAGCUUGUUACAAGAUUAGUUUGGGAUCUAUUUAAGUGGAGAAUUUAGCAUCUAGUCUAAGUCUAGUGCAGUAAAUGCUGUCUAUCAGCUACUGUUGUGCUGUCAAACAAAACAACUCACAGACUCGUCUUAUCAUAACAGAUUCAUGUAAAAAUUUAUUCCUUUGCACCCAUAUUGAUUUAACACCGAAUCGACUAGUGCCUUAUUUGAUGAUGAUAGAUCACGUGAGUCAUUGCUAGUAGCGACGAGUGCGACUUAUGUAAUCAGUUAGCUAUCGCGUAAUGAGCUAGGACUCAUUUCAAACCCUCAAAUAUCAUCAGUUGUGGCAUUAAGAGAACCUUCAUGAUUUAUGUUUUAACUUCGGAGUUAGACUGAUGAGUGGACAUAACCCUUUGUAUUUGAGGUUAUAAUAUUACGAUUAGAGUUGUCAGCUUAUAAUUUUAGAUAUUCAGAAUCUCUCCAUUUACAGUUACCUAUUUCAUUUUGCGGGAGAAUGGGUUAGAACCCCUACUAAUUAUGAUCACGUGCUACGAAUCGAAAUGACAAGAUGUGACAUGAGUACUAUAAUGGGAUAAGUUCCAAAAAUAGUUGCGAGUUUAAUAAGAGCUUGAAACAUUGACUAAAGUCGUUCCAUAACUUAGUAUUAUGUGUGGUGACACUAUAAGGUGCUCGGAGAAGCAAAAUCUAUUUCAUUAUGGAAGAUGUCAUGAUUCAGAAGGUCCUUCGCAAGGACACGAGAGUGCUUCAAUUACUUGGUCGCAUUUCAAGCGCCACGUGAGUGAAUGUUACGUAUUAGAAAUGAUAUACUAAGAUCGUUUAGAGGAAGAAUGUUGAGAAAGUUGAAAUUCAGUUGGAAGUUCUUUUAGAAGGUUUUAAGGAAGGAUGUUGAUUGUAGAAACCAGACUUUAAGCUUGAGGAUCUCCAGAACAUUCUCAAGGAUAGAUUUUAGUUUUUAAAGAAAAAGUGGAUAUCCUAGACCAGAAGUACCUUUGCUGCCAAUGAUCAAGACUUACCAAGUUUGAAAAAGAAUUUUCAUGUGACUGAGAAGUAAUUGUGUUGGACCUGGCCAGUCCACAUGACCAAGAUCUCAGUAAUCUUCAUAUAUGGGUUUUAAACCUAUAUAUAUUUAAACAUUCAUCUGAAAAGCCAAACGGGUUUAGACUAUUAGGUCACCUCGUUUCGACCUUCUAGUCAAUUCAUUUCUACCCUAUGGUUAUUCUUUGACAAUUUGUUACACACCUUGUCUAAAUGUCAUUGGUGAUAUCAAUCAUUGUGUUAGUUGUUAGUAGAUUUUAUAUGAGCCAAAGACAAGAGUAUUCCCCAGAUUGAAUCAGGCAGACACUUACACCUCGACCCAAUGGUCAAGCACGAGAUGCAUCUAGACCACCUCUUAUAUAUUUGGUGGAAUGUCGUUACAUAUUCCAUAGAUGUUGACUGUUUUGAUGCUCUUGUAUGCCCUUAUGUUGGCUAAGCUACUUUGACUGGUAUUAGUACGGAAACAUUGAUCCAUAGGGCGUUCCGUGACCCAAUUCCUUGGUGAUGGCAUUACUAGACAGCCAGUUCAUCAUGAGUAGUACUUGGAUAGAUCAGUAGAUCUAGAUCUAGAUGUUGAUGUAAAAGUCCUCAUCGAGGCAAUUGUUUUCGUGUCUAUAUAGCAAACUUUAUCGGUCUUUUGCGCAAGUCACUUCUGCCAUGUUUACUUAGAUGUUAGCAUGAGAAAGAGUAUAAGCAAGUUGAGAAUCAAGAAACAUUGAGCAAAUUGAUGAUACACUAAUAUUUUUUUUUAUAUAUAUAAGGCAUUGAUGACUAUAUGUCAACUCAUCGGAGGGACACUAAAAUGAAGGCGUCCAAGAAAAGGGGAAGAAUUCCUUGAGAUGAGGAAAUAGCCCAGUACCAGGGCUGGAACAAACUAUAGCCCCACCACCAUCAACAAAACGUAGAAUAGAUGAACUAUUUCUACAUAAAAUCUCUGUCUUCAAUGGACAGAGACCACGGGCUGAGCUUGGGUACAAGCUAUAGCGCAUCUUCAAUUUCUAGCGCUGCACAGAUCAGGAACGUCUUACUUGCGUGGCCUUUCAACUAACCUCUAGUGAGAAACACAGAGAAAGACGAUGACAAUAGAGCAAUUGGAGAUUAUGAUGUGGGAAUAGUUUGAGAUGGGAAUAUAUGAUAAGUAUAUGCCCAGAAGCUCUCGCUAGAAGAAGGAAAUUUAGUUUUACAACCCAAAGCAAGAAAUGAUGACACUAACUCAGUACGGUAGAAUGUUCUACGACAGGUCUAGAUAUAUGCUGGAACAAGUGGACCCAAUGAGAAAGUGACAGGAAAUUAUUUGGCGGUCUAAAGCACGAGAUCAGAAUGGCUUUGGCAGGCAUAUGGGAUUAGUUUAUGCGGAAUCGCAUAGCAGAGCGAUAGACAUUGAGGUAGCAAUGAGGCAGCAAUGCUGAGGGAAAAACCAGUAACGACGCUUAGGCCAACAUAUCCACAGUACAAACUCAGAACUUCAAAGGAAAAAGAAAAGGGGACCACAGUAAUAAUUACCGUAAAUAAGACGUCAUGGCACGAGCAAUGAUAGGGGAUAACUAGUAAAGGAGUUCUGCCCUGCCGUAAGUGUAUUGAGAACCAUGGGAAAGUCAGCAAGGCUGGCAGUGAUGGCGGUUAUAUGGCAGCCAAGAGAGGCAUUAUGCAAAUUGUUGCCCGAUUAAGCAAUAAGGGAUGGGUCUAAGGCUUAACCCAUCAGUUCAAGCUCAGCAUCGGCGAGCAAUCCAAGCUCUGCCCCAACCACACCAAGAGCAGUAACCACGCUAGUAGCAGCAAUAUCAACAACAACAACAACAACAAAAUGGACGACCCCAUCAUGCUAAGACUUACACUAUGAGACAAGAACAGACCGAAGAAUGGGCGUGUCACAAGAUACCCCUGUUAUACUUCUGUUUGAUACGGGUGCGAUACAUACUUCCAUAAAAGUGUAUGUGAGAUACCUUAAUUGCUUGAGACACGAAAAACUAACCAAGAUCUGAGUACAUAUUCACCAAUAAGGGGAAUGACGACAGUAAAACAUGUGUGCUUGAACUUAGACUUGAACGAAGAAUCACUCAAGGUUGUAGUGGACAACUCAUAUGUUAUACCGACGGGAGACAUGGAUAUAACUAUAAUAAUGGAUAGGCUAGUUGGGAACUAUGCCACUAUCCUUUGCAACGAAAGAUAAAUUUCUUUUUGCCCCCGAGGAAAGUAAUCGACAAGUUUCUUGAAUUGCAUGAGUAGAGGGAGACAAUCAUCUCCACCCUUAAAGCAAAUGGAUGAUGAUGAAAGAAUAUCCACCCUACCCUGUGUAUUUACAGGGGAAUCAGAACCAAGAAAGGCAUAAGAGACGUGACAAUCAUAGAGAAUUUCAAAUGUUUUCUGGAGAUUUCACCGGGGUACACCCAUUCUUUUGUAAAAAAUAAGGAUGACAUUGAGAAUGUGUAUAGACUAUAGAAGUUGAACAAGGUGACACUCAAGACAGUAUCAUCAACCGAGGAUAGGCGACUUUUUCGAACAGCUCAGAGGAGCGGGUGUGUUCUUAAAGAUUGAUUUAAGGUCUAGGUACCAUCAACUAAAGAUUUAACAAGAUGUACCUAAGUCAGUCUUCCGAACCAGAUAUAGACAAUAUGAGUUCAUAGUGGUGUCAUUGGAUUGACGAAUGCACCAGCCGAGUUCAUGGACCUCAUGAACCGAGUGUUCCACCCAUACUUAGACAACUUUGUCUUAGUUUUCAUAGACGAUAUCUUGAUUUACUCGAAGAACGAGAAAGAUCAUGAGAAACACUUGAAAACUUUCUUACAGAAUGUGGAGGACAAAGCAUCCUUAUGCCAAGUUUAGCAAGUGGAAAUUUUGGCCUCAUCAAGUCACGAUUUUGGGGCACAUCGUAUCAUCAAAAGGGGACAAAGUGGACCAUGAGAAAGUACGAGCUGUACACAAACAGAGACCGUUUACUAACUCCAAUGAGAUCAUAAAUUUCUUGGGAUUAGCAAGUUACUAUAGGAGGUUCAUAGAAAGAUUUUCCCAAUAACAAGACCAACGGUGUAAUUACUCAGGAAAUGAAUUAAAUUUUUAUUGGACAGAACAAUGUGAGAAUGGCUUUCAACAACUCAAAGAAAGGUUGACUACUGCAUCAGUGUUAACUGUCCCAAAAGCUUAUAAAGAAUAUGUGAUCUAUAUAGACGUAUUCAAGAAUGGAUUUGGUCACGUGCUAACGCAAGAAGAAAAAGUGAUAGCAUACACGUCACGAUAGCUUAGACCACAUGAAUUGAACUAUCCAACCUAUGAUCUACAAUUAGUUGCAGUAGAGACACCACCUGUAUAGAUUUAGGUGCGAAUACUCAUAGAACAUAAAGAUCUGAAAUACUUUUCAAGCAAAUGGAUCUUAACAUGAGCCGAAAAAGAAAUAGCUCGAACUAGUGAAUGACAAUGAAUGUGGUAUUAACUACCACCUAGACAAGGCUAACAUAGUAGACGAUUCCUUGAUUCGUAAGACUCAACUUAAGUUGGGAUCUCCCCUCACUCAGGAAAAGGAACCCAUGAAAGAUUUUAGUAGAAUGAAUUUAGAAGUGGUUCAACCACUAGAAUCUGUAGAAGGGAUUAUUGCCACGAUGGUAAUAACACCCAACUUUAUAGGAAAGCUGAUAAUGCGCAAAGAAGGAAUGAGACCUUGGAGAAAAUACGUUUAGCAAUAAGAUCAGGCAAGCCUAGACGUACCAUGAGACGUGGAUAAUGCGUUAAUGUUCAUGAAAGAUUGUAUAUCCCCCAUGAUGACAAACUCAAAGAUGAGAUAAUGAGUAAGGCUCAUGACCCGCCGUAUACUGCCCACCCGGAAAGCACAAAAUGUAUCAGGACUUAGAGAAAAUUUUUGGUGAAAAGGUUCGAAGAAAGAUAUAGCUUCAUUUGUUGAGGGAUGCCUAGCAUGCCAACAAGCGAAGCUUUGCACUAAAGACCAUGUGGAAACUACAACAAUUGAACAUUUCAAAAUGAAAAUGGGAGCACAUUAAAAUGGAUUUUGUAACUAGUUUACAAGUCGAAAAGAGGAAACACCGCCAUUUGCGUAAUAGUGGAGCGACUCACGAAAUGCGCUCGUUUUAUAACAAUACCGAUUAGUUACAGAUCGAACAAGCUAGCCCAUCUGUAUAUUCGAGAAAUUGUGCAUUGCACGGCGUGCCCAUGUCAAUCACUUCAGACCGGGAUUCAAAGUUCACACCCAGACUAUAGAUGAACUUACAGAAGGAAUUGGGCACAAGGUUUAAUUUCAAUGCUACCUUCCACCCUCAAACAGAUCGAUAGUUUGAGAGAACAAUUCAGAUUUUCGAAAACAUGUUAAGAGUAGUAGUAAUAGACAGAGGUGGAAGUUGAGAAUUAGUGCAUUCAUUCAUUGAUUGAGUUUGCCAAUAAUAGUUAUCAGGCGAUCAUUAAUAUGGCACCUUAUGAGUCAUUAUAUGAAACAAAAAAAAAAAAAAAAAAAAGAAGACUACGCGAGAACUUAGAAAGCAAGACGAGAGAAAAUACCCAGAACUUUUGCGAUGAUAUGCAAAUUUCGGGACGAAAUUUUUUUAAGAGGGGUAGUAUGUAGUAGCCCGCUCUUUUAUUUAUGAUUAAGAUUAGUAAAUGCGAUAUUUAAUUAUUGCAUCCUCCAGUAAUGUUAAUCCAGCUGAGAUUCUGAAUUAGAUAUUUCCACGUGAAAUGAUCGUGAUUUAUUCAUUGAGCAGACAAUUAUUUAUUUUUCAGAAUGAUAACUGACUUAGCAAAAUCAGGUUAUUAAUUUUAUAUGCUAUAGAAUAUUAUUUCCAUCUAUUAUUGUUAUUCAAGUCGUGGAUUAUUUCGGCUUGUGAAGCGAAUUAAAUCUACGGAUCCAAUUUAGAUUCAUUCUACGAGUAUCACGAUAUUAGUAAGGCAGGAAAUCAAAUAUCGAAUAACAAGAUUUAUUAGAGUAUUCAGUAUAGUAGCAAACUAGAGAUUGUAUUACAUUUUCAGAUACCAAAUACACCAUUAAAUAGCAAGACUAGAAUUAGUAUUAGCAGAUACUAAUAGUAAGAUAUAAAAUGACCAUGACCAACACUGAAGAAUUUCAUUAGUCACACCCACAACUCUACACUAUCUAUUACAAACAUCACUCAAUUCCUAGCCUACUCCCUACAUUCCUAUUAUUACGGCAGCAACAAGAAAGAAAAGGAAAGGCAUGCGUGUGGGAACAAACAAGCUGUCAAUCAGCCACAACUUUACCUAUUCUCUCUCAAGGCUUUCACAUGGCAUAGAGGACUAGAUAUUCAAGAUUAGCUACCAAAUUCACUCCUUUAAUAAUUCAGCACCAAACUUCCUUCAUACCACUCCCAUUCUACACUAAAAACUUCACCAAAAGAAAGAAAGACUUCAUUUACUGCUGCCGUACUUCAAAGGAUGUAAGCUUUGGUCUUUAAUUCCUCCACUUCCUCCCUGAAUUUCAGCCUGCAUUUAAUAGGGAAACAAUACACAAUUCAUUUCAGUUAUCUUCUCAUUGAGACCAAUUCAAUGGCAAUAGACAGCCACCGACACCAAGCAUUUGCAGGUGAAUACUAAACUCAGCUCUUCAUGCAUCAUACCAUCACAUACAUGUUUGAAUAGAAAUAUAGAGGUGUAAACAUUUAUAUAUGCUUAUGGACCCAGCAGUCACACGUAAAGAAAUCAGUUUGUAUAUAAAUCUUCUUAAAAUCAAAUAUACACACUCUUAUAUUCAAUUCAAAGAUCUAAUCUUUGAAUUGAUUUUAAUACUUUUGACUAUUGAUUCUUAUUUUCAACACCUACAGCCACCCUACCUCUGUACCAUCUCCGUAGAGUGCUCCAGUGUUCAGCCAACAACCAUUCCCUCUUAGUCUUAAACCUCCAGCCAGCAAUCUCACUUCAUUCUCUCCCAUUCCACACUAAGGACUUUUGAGAGAGAAACGGGAGAAUCCAUUGCNUAAGUGCAACCCCUCAUGAACGAUCAUUUAGUGAAAAUCUUAUGGGGACGCCAUGGAUAAGAAGAAAUUACGUGGGAACUUGAGAGCAAGAUGACAGAAAAAUUCCCAAACCCUUUUUGCGAUGAUAUGCAAAUUUCGGGACGAAAUUUUUGUUAAGAGGGGUAGUAUGUAGUAGCCCGCUCUUUUAAUUAUGAUUGAAGCCAUUAAAUGCAAUAUUUAUUUGUUGUAUCUUUCAGUUAUUUUAAUCCAGUUAUUAAUAGUCUGUUAAUUCAGCUCAGAUAUUGAAUUAGGUGUUUUCGCGUGAGAUGAUUUCAAUUGGAUAAUUAAGCAAUCAAUAAUUUAUUUUCGAGACUAAUUACUGACUCAGUGAAGUCAAGUUAUUAUUUUAUAUGCGAUAGAUAUAUACGUAUUUCUAUUAUUUUUCCGGAAGUUGUGAAUUAAUUUCCGACUUAUAGAACGAGUUAAAUUAGAUACUUAGAUUUUAUGACGAAGCAUCGUAAUUAGCAUAACUCGAAUUAGAUUUACAAAUACACGAUGAUACAAGACAAUGAUAUUUUAUUAAUCAUAUGACACCUUUCAACAUCCUACCUAUUACAUGAAAAAGAAAAAAAAAGAAAAAAGAAAAAGAUAAGGUGUGUGCACAAGGGCAUCGUCCCUUUCACUAGACACACUAGUACAUCAACCUACUCAUAGACACCAGUGCUACAGCCACCCUACAGCCACCCUACACUCUACCACCUAUUCAUUAGCAUGCUCCAGCAGCCCCAAGUCCUCCAAUCACCUCCACUCUACCCUGCACCUAUUCUCUAGCAUACUCAAGAGUGCAGCCAACACCCUCUCUUAACAUCUGCCAAGCGACCUCUUCACCUCUUCAUUCUUCACUAAAGAGAUCAGAUCACUAAAGAGCAGGAGAACUCCUGCCCAUUGCUCUGUCAACUUCAAGGUAAGACUUGGCUUUAAUUCAUCCAACUCCUUCCACAUCUACUCCUGCAUUGUUUAAGAGGAACAACAACCUUGAAUAUUUCAGAUUUUCGAUUCAUUUAAUCCAACAACACCAGACAGACCAACAAAGACAAAAGACUCAAGGUAUUACUACUUUUCUAUACUCAAUUUAGCCGCACUCAUAUCCAGUACAUGGUCAGUUAAGAAACACCAUAAAUAGGAGAACAAGCAUGAUAGACAAACAAUACCAAUGUAUAAUAUGAGGAUGUGCAUAAGUCAGUUUACUUCCAUCAAGAACCACAACAGCCUAUGACCUUUAUACGAGCUAAAUGCAGUAAGGAUUUCUUUGAUACAACAGCAAGUUCAGUGCUUAGUGCAAUUUAUUGCAUAAUCCUUAUAUGGAAACCAAGACUUCACUGUAGAGCUAUAGAUUGACCUAGCUUUUAGAGAGGGCGGGGGCUACUGCCCUGUUGUUCGGGCCGAAGGACGUCGAGUGGACGACAACUCGCGGGAACAGCAGCGUCGGCCGCGUCGAGCGGUGAAAGGCAGACGACUCUCGAUCACAGCGAUGGCCCCUCGCCGAUUUUGGAGUAGCAGCAGUGGGCGGCGUACCUUCACCAAAACCAGCAGCAGCGUGGCUGAACCGAAGGUGAGAACGACCAGCACUGACUGAUUCGCCGGAUCCCGGAGCCGCGGCGGCGGACUCCUCGGCUGAGGACGGAUCGAGAGAAAGAGAUGGCUGCGGUGCGUGAGUUGAUGCGAAAGAGAGAGAAGAGGUGGAAGAAGCAGAUCGAUCCCUGGAUUCUCAACGGCGGCCGCUCGCCGGCGGCUGGGACGGCCAGAGCAGGGGCGACGAACCCUGGUUUUGAGAGUUAGGGCUUCUCACCGUUGCCUUCAAUCGGAAGAGAAGGGGCUCCAGACGAGGAGUAAGGCUCGAACGGGGCAACUGGAACGGCCGGUGGUAGCAGACGGCAGCUGAACGGCCGGAGAAGAGAAGCCGGCCAGAGGAGUUGAGAGAGAGGCCGAGCGGUUUCUGAGAGAGAGGCCGAACGGCGUGAGUUGAGGGAGAGAGAGACCGAGUGGUGUUAAGGGUUGGGCUUCCCCUUUUGCCUUGGGCUUGAUUUAUGUUUCCUUUGGGCCGAAAGUUGGGCCUUCUUUUUAUGUGAGCUGCAGAUUUUAAUUGUUUUGGGCUUGAGUUAUUUCUUUUAAUUGGCCCGAUUUUAAUUCAGUAGAAUGGGCUGGAUGAUUAAUUCAGUUGGGCUUUUCACUAUUUAAUUCAUGCCCACUUUCAUUUAAUUAAUUAUCAGGCUGCCUUAUGUUGAGCCUUUUAAUUAUUUCGAACUUAUAAUAUUAUUUUCGUUCUUAUUUAUUAAGCCCGAUUAACCUUUAUGAGAUUAUUAAGCGAAUAAUUCAGAUUGAGCUAUUUCAUUUUAAUCGAUUACGGAGCGUGACCUAUUAUAAUUAUCAAGUGGAAUAGAACACUCUAGAUAAGCGGAUUCAUUAUAGUUAUUAUCCGACCUCAGGCGACGAGCCUUAUUUAAAUUAUUUUAUUUCGACAGUUAGAAUUAUAAUAGAAUCUCCCAGAUUAUUAUCUCAGAAUAAUAAUUCAUGCAUAAGGAUCAUGCAUAGUUAAAUUACGCAUUCUCAUUAAUUGAGGAUUUUAUUCGAGCAGUAUCUUAUUUAUAUUCUCGUAAUAAAGGUCAAGGGCGAGAUUGAUAAUCUGUUGAGGAGCUUUUGUAUCACAGAAAAUUACUAUCAGGUGGGCAUUACUUUCAUAUAUAUCAAAUGAGUUUAAAUGUUACGUUUAAGCAAGUUAUUUCAUGACUAAAUUAAUUGAAGUUAUUUCAAAUAUUGUCUUGCCAUAAAAUGUUUAAAUUUUAGUAUGAUAUCUAUCUGAUGUGGCUUUGCCAGUUAUGUAAUCGAAUUCGGGUCUUGAGCAGUUGAUAGCUAUCCUGCCAGGGCUAGUGUACACCAGUGACCGUGAGUCAUCUAGCGGGUUGGCCGGUCAAGUGACCGUGAGAGGUGGCCACCUCUCCGGCACACAGUUCCAGAUAUGAUAGAUUACAAGAGAACAUAGACUGCAGUCGAACUUUAAGAAUCACAAAUGAAUUUAGUAAGCUUGGGCCUUUUAGCUAAAACUCCCUUGUUGUACUGUUUAUGAUGGCAUGACAAUUUACAGUUUCACGAAGCAUGUUUAUGUUUAUACUUAGGCAUACGUGCCCACUGAGUACUCUCGUACUCAGCCCUGCAUAUAUUUCUAAAUGUGCAGGUUGAGCAGUGGUUGAUGAAGAUGAAGUGAUGAGCGGAGCUUUUGUCAUGAGUUAAAUAAAUGAACUCUUGGAUACAUGUCUUCAUACAUGUAAUCAGAUUAUAUCAUUCCGCUGCGUACUCUCAAGUACUAUGUCUUUAGGUUAAGUUGGAUUCAUCCGAACUUACAAGCUUAUUUGAGUCUCUAUGAUUAAACUCCAAUUAUCUUAUAAAGUCCUCUUCUUUUCAUUCAUUAACAAUAAGUUAAGUUUGAUCCCCUAUCAUUUUCUCACCCCCUUUCUGUCCCCGCUUCUAAUCUCCCUCCCUUAGUCACGAUUUCUCGACUUAAUUAUCCUUAAUUAAGUCCGGUCGUGACAGAAUGGCAUGCAAGAUUAUGCUUGAUUAAUAAUUUUAGUAAGGCUCAUUAUUCAUAAGAAUUGAUUAUUAGUCUUAAUUCGUGUUUGCAUACCGAGCUUAUUUGUCAUUUAUCAACAGAUUUUCGUUUGGUAACCCUUUCUACAAUUCAAGAAUAGGCACCGAAAUUACUGUACUACCCUCAUUUAAAUUUAAUAAAGAGACACUAUCUACCCCUGUCCAGUUCCUCCUCUCUUAUCCUAACUUUGUUGUAAAACCUAACCCACUCCAACCUCAGUUUCUCUGCCUCAGACGCCAGUUCCCUCUUUCUCCUCUCUUCGAACAAGAAGAAUCUCCCAUCUUCUCCUCCAAAUCCCACUCCUGUUUGACCAACGAUUCUCUCAGAAAAUCAACCUCGCCCUAAGCUGCAUCCAAUUUCCGCUUCCUCGACUCAAUUUCUGAACAUUUUGUUUGCAGAAAAUCCACCAUUUUCUUAGUUACACUAGUCCGCUCGCUCAGAGCUUCCAGAGUCUUCUCCAUCACGCACGCGCACACACAUACUAUAAAAGGAGCACAGAUGACUGAUGUUCAAUGGGAAUGGCAGAGUGUCCAAGGUUGGUUAGGUCGUUUUUGGAUGGAAAAUCGAAGGCUGCUGUUCUAUGGGAAGCUUGAAGACGACGACUGUUGUUCAAUGGGAAUGGAGGAGUAUCCAAGGCCAACUAGGUCAUUUUUUAUUUCGAAAAUAUAAUUUUUGGGGGUAGUAUUGAAAUUCAAAAAAUUAGUCUGAGGUAUUGAAGCCCUCCAGACACUAAAUUCGGCACCUUUCGUUGGCUAAUUAAUCGAGAGAUUUCUGGCAUUUAACUGCGGGCCAUCGGGCUCCGUCGGGUUGCCUUGCUUAAUAACAGAAGCUAGCAAACAACGAAAAAACAUCAGACUAAAUAAUAGUCUGGCGUUACCAAAGCUAGCAAACACGUCCUAAGUAUAUAUAAGUCACUACUAAAAAAAAUCAUAGGUGUAACAGUUCAUACAUAACGAUUUUUUUAAAAAAACCGUUAUGUAUGAGCACCAAUUUAGUAAUACAUAACGGUUUUACAGAGCUUUGUUAUGUAUGUACUGUUGAAAUGUAUUUAUAACAAUGUUAAGUUAAGCGAUACGUAAUAGCGUUAUCUAUCAAUGAUAUAUAUAACGGUAUUACUGAACUGUUGAUCACUAAUUUCUUAGCAACAAGAAUGAUUGCAACUAACACAGGUAAUUGUAGUAAGCCACAAGUAAUCGAGUAUCGUAUCCACAGGGACUGAAAAACCGAAAUAACUCUAUCUAUUCCCUAAACAAACUCUAACAGUAGAUAGGCAAACGAUAAUAAGGAGGAUUUAAUUAUAACUAGACUCAAACAGCAGCAAAUAAAGUGACGUAGAAAAAUAAAAUAAUAAAGACAACUGAUCCUAGGGUAGUAAUUUCAUUAACUAAAUCCACAUAAUCUAUAUAUAUAUAAAAGCUCAACCUGAGCCUAUUUGAGCCAUUUUGGCGGGAAAAUGGGGAAACCUUUUAACCAGUGUGUUAUAAUUUUUGAUUAAGUCUGUUGUGUAAAGUUAAAUAUUCAACAGAUUUUUUGUAAUACUUGGGCCCCAAACAAUUUAGGCGGCAUUUAUAAAACUUAACCCCCAAGCAUGGAGCCAAAACUCAAUUUCGAAUUUCAAAAUACAUACUAAAAUUUGUCUAUAAAUACAAGCAUCAUCUGUUUAUUUUUUCUGUUCAAAAAAGGUUCACAAUGCAGAUUUUCUCUCUCUAAAAUUCAUUGUUCUAAUUCAUUUACAUGCAAGACUAUGUACCACAAGUCUGGCUUCCCCUCAACAGUGAUAUGACUCGAGAACUACAUGCUUUUUUAUUCUUUACAUAAAAUACAUAUUUUACUAUUUUUGUGAGAAAUAUUCUUGACCAUUUAAUGUUUCAGCAUGAUUCAAAAAAUAAUUAUUUUUUUACUUUUUGACCAUUUAAGUUUUAACAUGACUCAAAAAAAUAUUUAUUUUUUACUUUGUUUUACCAUUUAAUAUCUUAGCAUAAUUCAAAAAAUAUUUAUAUUUUUACUUCUUUUGUAGGGUAAUUAUUAAUUUACUUUUCUAAUGGAUAAAUGAAUUAAUUAAAUCGAACAAAAAAGUUUCAUUGAUUAUUUCGCACAAAUAUAAUCGUGUAACUGGAUAUCUUUCACGUUUAAUCUUUUACGUAAUAAACAUGUUUUUUAUUCCAUGGGUUACUGAUUAUUGAUUAUUUCAUAGGUUCUAUUAAUUUUAGCUUACACAUUGAUUAUUUCAUAGGUUGGAUUCAUUUUAUGUUCGUAUAUCAACGGUUACUAAUUAUUGAUAUUUGAAACUUGAAAAAGACUGAUUCUCGAUAAUAUUAUUUAUAUGGAACUCUAUAGAAUUGAUUUGUAUAAGAUAUUUUAUUGUUUGCUAUAUAUAUUUUGCUUUAUUUAAUAUUAUAUUUUUUUUAUAUUUAUAAUUAUAUUUCAUGUAUUUUGUGAAUUUCAUAUCCGUGCGUAUGCACGGGUAAAAUACUAGUAAAUCUAUUAAUCCUAUUAACCAAUUUAAUCCAGUUAUGAUGAGAGAUCACUUAAUUAAUCAAUUACUCUCGCUAGAGCAGCAACGAUCAUAGAUUAGUAAAUUCCCUAUCUCCGCUAAGUCUCAAGAAAAUCUACUAACUCCCAAUAGCUUAUAAGAAUAGCACUCUAUGAUCCACCUAUCUGCGCUAGGUCUCAAGGUUAAGAUCAUAUCAUACAUUCCUGAAUCCGUUAAAUAGCUAUCUCCGCUAGGUCUCAAGCCGAACAACUACACAUGCAAACUAUUGAUCAGAUAAUUCACAAGAAAACAAGCACUAGGAAUUAUGAAUCAUAAACUGAAAGGUAAAUAGGUACUAACAAAUAAAUACACAUGAACCUAAUUAACUAUUUACAAACCCUAUAAUCAGAAAAGAAAACUAGCCAGACAUAUUAAAAUAAAGUAAAGACAUAAACAUAAUUAAAAAGACAACAAUUUAAACAUAAUUAAAAAGACAACAAUUGAAAGAACUGAAUUAAAUAAAACUAAAUGAAAAAUCUUGAAUCUUCAAUCCUUGCAGAAAUCCAAUCCAAGUUCUAAAAACUGGAAAACAAUAUUAAUCUAAAGCUAUAAAACCGAAAAACUAAAGCUCGGAACCAUAAAUAGGUCAAAAAGAGGACCUAUAUAUAGGCACAAGAGAAAAAUACAGUGUAGGACUCGAAAAUACUGAGAAAAUUCCGAAAAUUUCCGAAAAUUCGGAAAUUCCCGUCGGACACUAUUUACAGCUGCGUGUGACUUUCUUGUUCUGGCCAUAUCUUUCUCAUCCGAACUUGGAUUUGCGAACCGUUUGCGCCUACGAAUUCGUAUCGAGAUGAUCUACAACUUUCAUUAAAAUCAUCGGUCCAAAUUCAGACUUCAUAUUUCUGUAAAAUUCAUCAAAGUACGAGCAAGUAACAUAUUUCACAAGAUAAAACAAUUUAAGCACAAAACAAUCAUCAAACACUCAAUUCCCUAUAAAAUUGACAUCAUAUCAACAUUAAAAACCAUGGAAACAUGUGUGUUAUCAACUGUUAAGUCAUUCGUUAUGUAUGAGCAUCUAUUUAACGACUGUUAUUUCAGCGUCAAGACUACCGUUAUGUAUCAGCAUCAAUUAUACCGGUACUUCCAACCGUUAUUGCCUACUGUUAUCUAUAAGUAUUUUUUUUAUAUUUGUUUUUUCAAUUUUUUUAAUACACAAUUAUAGUAUCUUUUUAUUAAAAAAAAAGAGUCAAAUAACAUAUCUAUUCUCCCGCCACUCUUUCGUUCCACCAAAUCUAAUUCAACACCAAAACUACAACUACUCUUCUUCCACGUUAAUUUCACUUUUUUAUAAUUUUUCAUUAUCUAUAAUUUUUUUCACAAUAAUAUAUUUAUUUUAAAAAUAAAUGAUUUUUUUAAUUAUCAUUUAAACCCUAAGUUCAUAUCAUAUUAGGUAUCAUAUAGGGUUUGUGUAUUGUAUAAUUUGUAUUUAGGAAAUUAUAAAAACAGGAAAAAAAAAAAUAUGCUCGAAUUGCGCAUUUGAAAAUACAUAACGGAAAUGACCGUUAUGUAAAAUAAAAAAAAAAACGUUAUGCUUAACAACAAUAAAAUAUAUAAAAAAUAUAUUUUAUACGGAAAAAAUAAGCUUUAUAAUAGUAAAAAAUUGUUAUAUUUGCUAUCAUACGACAACGGUAAUUAAUCGUUAUGUAAGAUAUAAAAAACCGUUAUGUAUAUUUAUCAUACAUAACGGAAAAAAUAUAUUUUAUAACAGAUUUUACCGUAAUGUAUUACAUUCAUACAAAACGGUAAUCAAUGUGUUAUUAUACCUCAUUUGCCGUUAUGUAUACAUAGUAUAGGUAACGGUAUAUUACCGUUAUGUAUGAGCGCCCUCAUACAUAACACCACUAUAUAUGACGCUUGUUUUGGUACAUAGAUAACGAAAAAUCACUGUUAUGCAUGAGCGUGUUUUUAGUAGUGAGUAUAUAUAUAACCCCAUCUCAAGAAAAAACUGCUUUUCACAUUUAUCUUUUCCGACUUCCACUACUAGAUUUUGAAUUCUCCAAAUCGUGUUUGCAGUCUUGCUAGAUAUGGUUAAUUAAUUCUUGAUGUUCACAUUGCUGAACAUGAUUUUGAUGUUUACAAUCUUGGACUUAUUUAGGAACAAGGUAGUCCAAAAAUUUGGUUUUAUAAAUGGGUUAAGUACCGAAUUCUCCCCUAUCGAUGGCGUCCCUAUCGCGUACAAGACCCUAUAGUCAGGAUAAACGUUGUUUACUACCUCAACGUGGCAAAAUCAAACCAAUUCCCCCCCCCCCCGCGUUUUAACAUCGUUAAAAUGCCUUUAGAAAAAUUAUUUUUUUUAAUUGUUAAUCGUAAAGGACCCUAUAGUCAAGGCCCCUAUCGUUGUGUUUUCCGGCAACGAUUCACAUUCUGCGGCGGAAAAAGCCGCCGCGCAACCAGCUGUCGCCUCAUCUCUCAAUUCCGGCGAGCAGCAACGAAGGCUGUCGCCGCUUCUGUCGCCGCUUCUCGCCCUGGUCUCCAUUUCCCUUCGUUCGGCCGAACAGUAGCUCCGAGCUACCGCCGACCGCCGUGUCCUANGCCGCCGCGCAACCAGCCGUCGCCUCAUCUCUCAAUUCCGGCGAGCAGCAACGAAGGCUGUCGCCGCCUCUCGCUCUGGUCUCCAUCUCCCUUCGUUCGGCCGGACAGUAGCUCCGAGCUACCGCCGACCGCCAUGUCCUAGCCCCUGCCUCCCUAUCUCACACCAGCAGCUAGGCGCCGUGCACUAACCACUGCUUCGAAUAGAGAGAGAGAGAGAGAGAUGGGGCUUUGGGCGGUGGCUGACUCUGUUAGCCACUGCAGUCGCCGGAAUGAGAGAGGGUGGCGACGGCCACUGCAGGGUUCACGCAGCGUCUGGGGUCGAGUCGGGGAGAAGAAGGUGAUCGGUGGCGGCGCUUCUCGCUGGGGGGAUGGAGCAGCAGUAGUGACUGAGCUGUGUCGAGCUGUGACUGAGCAGAUGCCCCCCUGCCGGAAUUGAGAGAGAGAAGAAGAUAUGUGGCCCAUCUUAAUUAAAAAUUUUAAAAAUAAUUUUUUCUAACGGCAUUUUAACGGUGUUAAAACGCGGGGGGAAAUUGGUUCGAUUUUGCCACGUUGAGGUAGUAAACAACGCUUAUCCUGACUAUAGGGUCUUGUACGCGAUAGGAACGCCAUCGAUAGGGGGGAAUUUGGUACUUAACCCUUUAUAAAUUUGUGCAGGAGAGUUUAGAAACAAUAUAGUCGAAGAUUUGUGAAGAAGAUUGUUUUGUUUCAUCAUUUUCUUCUUUUUCUUCAAAUUUAUGGUGGCUAUACAUUUUUGCUGAAUUCGCGUAUUUCUUUCUUCAAAUCUUUGCUAUGUAAUUCUUAUUUAUUUAAUUUGUGGCUUAUAGGGAUAAAAUUAUAAAUCUAUUAAUAUUUUAUCAUUUUUAAAUAAAAGAAAUUAUGAAGAGUAAAAAAUUGGAGGCUAUGUAUAGAAUCACCCUUUGCAAAUUUGUUUGGGCUUUUUCUAAAUGGAAAAAAAUAUUCUUGAAUCACUUUUACUUCCAAUAUCGCCUAAGCAAACUGAUAUGAUUGUAGACAAUGACUGCCUAAUGCAUAUGUCUUGGUGAGACAUAGAGACUAUAGUUAUGAGGAGUUUCCCAACAAUGACCUUCACAAAAAAACAUAUAAGGUAAUUAUAAAGUAGCCUUGAAGCAUUAAAUUUGGGAGUGAGUUGAGUAUACUAUAUGUGGCAUAGGUAGGAAUGAUUGUUCACAAAGUAUUAAACAUGUUUCCAGCUAAUUAAAUAAUGAUUAUUAAGUCUUGAUUAGUCUUCAACACUUCUCCACUUUGGGAGGGUGCAUGCAUGUGAAUUUAUGAGCAAAUAUAUAUUACUAUUAGAUUAUGAUUUUAGCAUGUUGACUCUCUCUCUCUCAUCUCUCUUUCGUGCAAAAUAUAUAUAGGUAGAGUUAGGAUCCUAUGAGAACGAAGAACCGUGAACAAAUACAUAAAAUACCAAAUGAGAUUCUCUGUCCCAAACGUAAUGUGUACCACUCUUAAUUUCUUUAUAAUUUUUAAUUAUUUGUUAUUCAAUUUUAAUUUAUUAUGCUUUAAUAUAAUAUAAAAAUAAUUAACAAGGGUUCACUCAUCCAAUUAGGGUUUAUAAUUAUUUUUUUAUAUUUAUUUGAAUUAAUAAUAGAUUAUUUGGGUUCAUUAAUUCAAAGUUAGGAUAUAUAAUUUUUUAAAUUCCAAUUUUUAGUGAUAAAUAUUAAUUAGACUUCAUAAUAUAAUAAUAAUUUUUAUUUUUAUAAAAAUAAUUAUAAAAUAAAGAAAUUAAGAGUGGUACACACUACAUUCUGGGACAGAGGAUCCCAUCUGAUAAAAUACAUGUAUUUUAUAUAUUUGUUCAUGGUUUUCCGUUCUCACAAAAAGAUAUGAGUGGGAUUUUAGAUUAAUUUGUAGGUGUUGAUUUAAUGUAUCUUAUAACUAAUAAAUUUGGAUGAAAUUUUUUUUACCUGGGUUCGAAUUCUGGAGGAAACAAAAAUUUUACUAAUUUUUUGAGUAUCGUUACUCAACAUCAUAUACCAGUUUAUUCAUAACUAUAUACUGACUUAUUCAUUAAUUUCACAUCUCACGAAAUUUCACGGAAACACGUGUGGGCGGAUGUAUACUAUGGCUGCACUGGGCUCCAGCCCAGUGCAAAGCCCCAAAUUUUUUAUAUAUAUAUAUAUAUAGAUAACCCAUAGCCCAGCCCAACUAUCUAAAGAAAACAUAAAAACAUUCUAACCUAUGUCAAAGAGUCGACGCACACAGUAGAAAAAUUCAGAAAACAUAAUUAAUAGGCUAGCGUCCCUCUCUCCUGAGCAAUUGCAAAGCAAUAAUUUGUCCUAUUGUGGCUGUGGAGAAUUGAACUUCCAAUUUAUUCACUUAUUCUCGUCUCAUAUUAUUCAAGGUAUGUAAAUUCAAGAACCCUAAAUUAGAAUUAAUAUUAAAAUUAAGUUUAUUUUUGUUGAAUUUUACUGAUGAAAUUGAAACUUGAAAUAGAGGUAGAAGAAUUUCUUAUCUUUUAUUUGAAACUCUCCUGUAAAUUGCAAUUAAUAUUUUAAAUAUAUAAAAAUAAAUGUAAUAAAAUUCUUAAUGUUUUUUAUAUCUUGCAGUUCUUCAAUAAUUUAAAUGGAGCAUCAACAUAUUGCAAAGAAAGGAAAAUGACUUAUAUCAUCUUUCUUUAAGAAACGUGAUCGUCAAGAUACUCAAGACAAUGGAGAUAGCUUGGAACCUUCAAAUUCAACCAUGGCCGCUGGAAAUCAAACUAAUCAAUCUCCUUCACUUGAAUCACCUCCUAUGGAGCAAAAUUCAGUUACAUGUAUUGAGCGUGAUCCGGGUAAAAGGAAACAAUUGUGUGAAUAUUCUGUUAAUGCACGAGAUGAUAUAAGACGUGCAUAUCUAAAAGCUGGGCCUUAUCAACCGAAAAUGGAAGCGUAUCCUGUUACAAAGUUUGGCACUCAAAAUCGUAGCUUUCAGAAGAGAUGGUUUGAUAAGUUUCAUUGGCUGGAGUAUUCGCUUUCCACAAAUAAGGCAUAUUGUUUCUAUUGCUUUCUUUUCAUCAGUGAAGUUAAUCUGCCUGGCUCUUCUGCAUUAGUCAAGGAAGGAUUUGACAAUUGGAAAAGAAUAAAUCAAGGAAAAAAUUGUGCAUUCCUUACUCAUGUUGGUUCUGCAGCUACAUCACCACAUACUAUGUGCUUAAGACGUGCAGAAGAUUUGAUGAGACCAGUUGGGCAUAUAGACAAAGUGAUGCAUUCUCAAACGAUUAUUGAGAAGGAGAGGAAUCGACUGCGCUUGAAGACCUCGAUCACAAGCCUCCGAUGGCUUGCACUUCAAGGUUGUGCUUUUAGAGGUCAUGAUGAGUCUUCAUCUUCAUCGAAUCGUGGGAAUUUUAUUGAAUUGGUGAAGGCUUUUGCAAAUAUGAAUUUUCGCCCUGUGCAGCGCUGAAUUCCCACAAUCCGACCAGCUUCUUCCCUCACCAACACUCUCUUGACACUUAGAAUGUAUGAGGCUUUUGAAUAUUAUGGCCAACAGAGUACGUCAAAUGAUUCGUGAAGAAGUUGGAGAUAAAUAUUUUUGUAUUCUUGUUGAUGAAGCACAAGAUAUCUCCAAGCAAGAGCAAAUGGCCAUUAUCUUGAGGUUUGUCAAUGAUCAUGGAAUUUUAACUGAACGUCUUUUUGCAAUUAAAAGUGUUAGUGACACCACUUCAUUAACUUUGAAAAAAGAGAUAUGUCGUGUUAUUUCUCAUCAUGAUCUACAUGUUGAGAAAAUGAGAGGUCAGGGAUAUGAUGGUGCUAGUAAUAUGUGUGGUUCAUGGAAUGGACUUCAGGCUUUAUUUCUUAGAGAUUGCCCAUAUGCCUAUUAUAUCCAUUGUUUUGCGCAUCGACUCCAAUUGGCAAUAGUUUCUGCAGCUAAAGAUAUUGGUGUUGUUUGGGAGUUCAUUAUAAUAUGAAUGGUAUUAUUAAAUAGAUUAUAAGUAAAUAUUGUAAAUUAUAAAUGUGAAAUUGUGAGCUAGUGUCCAAAAAUAGGACGUGCAUAAAUUUGAGAGUCGUACCAAAAAAUGAAAUGUAUGCAUAAAUAGGGCUAUAAAGUCGUUUAAAUAUUCGGGUGUACUCGAUUCGGGAUUUUUAUCUUGUUGAUCGAGCUCGACUCGUCAUCCACAUACCGAGCUCGAGCACGGCUCGGGGUGAUGCUCGAUAAUGUCAAAUUCGAGCUUGAACUCGAGUUCGACUCGUUAAAUGUUCGUAUAUGAUGUUCGAGCUCGAACUCGUUAAAAAAAUCUUAAUUAAUAAGUUACUCGAGCUUGAACUCAACUCGUUAAGGCUCAUGCAUAAACAAAAAUAGAUUUUUUAGUUAUAGAUAAAAAAAUAUUUGUUAAAUAGAUAAAAAUCCAAAAUAGAUGAACUUCAAAUAAUAUAUGAUAAAAAUAACAAAUUAUAGUUGAAGGAUAUUUAUAAAAUAAUUAUUACAUGUGAUGUGGACGAAAUUAUGUUCACCUUGGCAUCUCAGCUUUGGAGCUUAGCCUUGGCAACCUAGCUUUGGCAGUCCAGCCGUAGUAGCCUAGCCUUGACAACUCAACCUUGGAAGGGCGGCCAUGGCGACAUCGGCGUUGCCGCCGCGCAUUCAUCUCCUCAUCUCCAAUCUCGGCGUCUCUCUCUCCUUCUUCCUCUGUCUACACGCACCUCCACCGCCGUCUGCCCCCGCGCCGCGGUCGAGGCUCCGGAGAAGGUCAUCGAUCUCGGCGAUCAGAUCUCGAUGCUCACAAGUUCGACGUCUCCACCGCGUCGUUCGCUCGCGUCGCGGCCACCGCCGCCUCGCUCUUUCUCUUCUCACUCUCUCUCCACGCUCUCUCUCUUGCGACGGCCGGCGAGAAACGCAUGCGCUGCCGUCGAUCUCCCUCUGCCAUCAAUUUCCAGUUUACUUAACGAAUGGGGCGAAUGUGUAUAAUUUCCAUGUGACUUAUUUUAAAAUUGUUGAAUGUGAGGGGAGUUUCGGUGAAUUUGAGUGAAUUUGGUGUAUUAGGGGAUCAUCGAAUUGUUGCAGAUUGACUUGAUCAAUAAUUUCUUCGAGUUAACUAGGAUAUUAUUUAGAUUAUUUGAGGAAAAAUUGAAUUCAAUUUGAUUUUAAUAAAUUUUUUUGAAGAAAUUGAUGAAAAUCACGCAAUUUUGUACAAAUGUUCUUGAAAUCACAACCAGGUUUAUGAAUUCACAACUGAAUUAUCGGCGUUGGCUGUGAAUUCACAAUUGAAACAGUGUUGAUUGUGAAUUCAAGUUUUAUUGGUUGUGAAUUCACAACUUGAAAUAGUGUUGGUUGUGAAUUCAAGUUUUAUCGGUUGUGAAUUCACAACUUGAAAUAGCGUGAAUUCACAACCAACACUUGUUAUUCACAACCAAUACUUGAAUUCAGUUGUGAAUUCGAGUUGAAUUCACAACCAGUGAACAGUGGGUAUUUGUAAAAUUUUUAUAUGUAAGGAUAAAAUGGUAAAUGUGAGUAUUUUUUAAAGUUUUUAUAUUAGUGGCUAAUUUUUAAUUUUACUAAAGGAAAGUGGGUAUUUUCAAAAUCCACUCUUAAAAAUAUAUAUGUUCAUUAUAAAACAAAGUUAUAAUUGUAAGUACUCCUAAUUGAAGUUCAAUCAAUAUUAUAUUAUAUAGUAUUUUAUAUACUAUAUAAUAUUAGAAGCAUGAGAGAUGGGAGAUAUAAGGUGGUUCUUGGAGUGGAUGGAAAACUAAUUACUAACAUCUAACAUGACUUUGCCCGAUAAAAAAAAAAAAAACAUGAUUUUAUUUUAUGAAAAUGAGCAACAUGGCAGCUGAUGCAGACUGAUACUUGUAGUUUGAAGCGUGAAAAACAUUUGUAAAUAAGCCUUGUACACUUCUCAGCAAUGAUUGUACAUCAACGAGCCCCCCCCCCCCCCCUUAUGAUCUCUCCUUCUCCGCAUUCCUUCUCUCCUUACACGUACACACAAAAACAAAAAUACACACACAUCUCAAUUUCACACACUAAUAUAUUGUCUCUCUCCCCUCUUUCUCUCUCUGGAUCUUCACAUCCUCUCUGCAGAUUUCCCCAAUUUUCCGAACCCUAAACCCAAAUCUGCUCCCAAUUUCUUUCCCCGGGCCCGAAUUUCAUCCAAUCUCGGCCGAGAUCGAUUUGAUACCCUUUAAUUCAAACAUUUUCAAAGCUGGAGCAGCUAAAGACGAUCGGUCGGGAGCUCGCGAUGGGCUCCCAAGGUGGAUUCGGGCAGUCUAAGGAGUUCCUCGACCUCAUCAAAUCAAUCGGCGAGUCUCGAUCCAAAGCCGAGGAAGACCGCAUUGUAUUGCGUGAAGUGGAGACCCUCAAAGUUAGGUUGAACGACCCGAACACCCCCAAAUACAAGCUCAAGGAGUACAUAAUCCGCCUCCUCUAUGUCGAGAUGCUCGGCCACGACGCCUCCUUCGGGUACAUCCACGCCGUCAAGAUGACGCACGACGAGAAUUUGCUGCUCAAAAGAACUGGAUACCUGGCGGUGACGUUGUUUCUGAACGAGGAUCAUGAUUUGAUUAUUUUGAUCGUCAACACGAUACAGAAGGACUUGAAGAGCGAUAACUUUUUGGUGGUUUGCGCGGCUUUGAAUGCGGUGUGCAGGUUGAUCAAUGAGGAGACGAUUCCAGCGGUUCUGCCGCAGGUUGUGGAGCUGUUAGGGCACCAGAAGGAGGCGGUGAGGAAGAAGGCUGUCAUGGCGCUUCAUCGGUUUUCUCAAAAGGCUCCUGGGUCGGUUUCCCAUCUCAUUUCCAAUUUCCGCAAGGUGCUCAUUCCCUAUUGUCAAUGUAUCUACAAGUGUAUAUAUGUUAGAGAUCUAACAGUAAAUAUUAAUGAAUUCCUCAGUUAGAAGUUUAAAAAUGGUGGUAUAUGAAGGUAUAUGCCAUUCUCUUACUUUUGAGGCUAAGUGCAUACUCCUGCUAGCUUGUAGUAUAAAUUUGCACUUUGCGUUAUAUGUUCUGAUUAUUAUGUGUCUGUAUACUUAUCAAGCACAGAAUGGCUCUGUAAUAAAUCUAAAAUAUGCUCGAUUUGCAGCAUUUGGAACCCUGAUAUAACUUCUACCAUUCAGACAAAAGUUUGGAUUGGAUGCAGCUCAUCAGUUCUUAAAAAAAGUGAUUAGGGAUCCCUAAGAGAGGCCGCAGUAGAAAUAUUUGAAUUAUUUUAUAAUAUGUUGUUUAUCAACCAUUUAAUUUUUGCCACCCUUAAACUUUUGUAAAUGAGAAGUAAUUGCUUGAGUGGGAAACAAUUAAUUAUUUUUUCUCACUAAAUAAUUUUAUUGCAGAAGCUUUGCGACAAUGAUCCUGGGGUUAUGGGUGCUGCUCUUUGCCCUCUAUUUGAUCUUAUUACUGCUGAUGUUGACAAAUAUAAGGACCUGGUGGUUAGUUUUGUAAACAUUCUUAAGCAAGUAGCUGAGCGCAGACUACCAAAGAGUUACGACUAUCAUCAGAUGCCUGCUCCAUUCAUUCAGGUGAACCUGUUUUUUCCAUCACGUCUUAUGCAUCUCACACAUUCUGUUUCAUCAUGUUUUAGUGGAAGAUCCACCUUUAGAAGAAGUGUUGUAAAUUUUCCCUCCUGGUUAUGAUUUGAGGUGGGAUUUCUGUAUCACAUUGUUUAGAGCAUCCCCUCGUCCAUGUGGGCUCAUGAGGUUACAUCUUUUUUUUCCCCUUCUCCCAUAUACUCCCUCUGUCCCAUUCUAAUAGGCUCAUUUAUUUUGGACACAGAGAUUAAUAAACUUACUUUUUAGGAAGAAAGUGGUGUGACCAAUUAAGUAUAUUUUUUUUAGUGAAAAUGGAAACGAGUCUAUUCUAGUGGGACGUCCCAAAAAGAAAAACGAGCCUAUUAGAGUGGGACGGAGGGAGUAAUACAUAGGCAUCAUUUCUUGACUACAAUCCUAAAAUCCCUACUACGGUACCAAUAUGUAUUUGCCGUACUGUAAAAAUGCUCCUUAGUGCAACACACAACUGCAGAGAAUGUGAAUUUCUGCAUAAAUGUAGUGUUUGCAAAGAGGAAUACCUAAAUUUUGAUAUUCUAUUUAUGCUCUCGCUAUCCAUCUUUUCUUUUCUUUUUUAAUAAUUAAUAUCUUAUCCUGUGUUUUCACAGAUCAAAUUGUUGAAAAUUCUGUCCCUACUGGGUACUGGUGACAAGAAGGCCAGUGAACAAAUGUACACAAUUGUGGGUGAUAUAAUGAGAAAAUGUGAUUCGACAAGCAACAUUGGGAAUGCCAUUCUUUAUGAGAGCAUUUGUUGUGUUUCAUCAUUGCACCCCAACCCAAAGUUGCUUGAAUCAGCUGCUGAUGCAAUUGCAAAAUUUCUGAAAGUAUGUCUUCUAAAUCUUGGAGAUAUUUUGGAAUCAUUAUUUUAUGGUGUUUCAUUUUAUAAUAGCUAGAUUCAUGUUUGAUGGACAGAGCGACAGCCACAACCUGAAGUAUCUUGGUAUUGAUGCUCUUACUCGACUAAUAAAGAUAAACCCAGAAAUAGCUGAGCAGCAUCAACUGGCUGUAAUUGAUUGCUUAGAGGUAAGAUAUAGUGUUUCUACUGAUGAAAAAUGGAUGUUAAUGGUUUCUGAUUUCAUUUCAGUUACAAAAGAUUGUACUUCUGUUUCUUGUAAAAUAUGACUCUCAUGCUUCGUAAUAGUCUGAUAUGACUCAAAAUGGCUGCAAUACCAGGAUAUAACAUACAAAUAAAGUUAUCUAGAUUGUUUGAUUUCACUCGUUCAUACAAUAGUUAAGGUGCAUUCUAGAAGAAUAGGCAUUAAAACGUGAAAUCUGAACCCAAGCAUAUGAAGUUACAGUUUGCAUUGACUAGAUAAUAUGUUGGGGUGUUAGUAUCAAGUAAGAAUCAAGAGUAAGUGAUAUCAUUCAAUUGAAAUCCAAGGUACUUGACAAUAGAUAAGGCACUGAAAUAUAUUUUCUUUCUAUUAUGUCAGGCCAGAAUUGUUACUUAGAGCACUAGUCUUUGGCUUGGCUAGUUUAGUUGUUAUUCUUUAUCUGUGAUUUUAUAUUAUUUUUAUUACAAAUAUAAAAUAUUGGCAUUGCAUGUUAUCUUUUCAAGUUUGGCUGAAUCUGGUAAUGACUUCUUGUGAUUAAGUUACUGUUUCUUUUAUGCUUCAGAAAAUUUCUUCUGUGUUUCGCAGGACCCAGAUGAUACCCUAAAGCGCAAGACCUUUGAUCUACUCUACAAAAUGACCAAGUCAUCAAAUGUAGAAGUAAUCGUGGACCGUAUGAUUGAGUAUAUGAUAAGCAUCAAUGAUAGUCAUUACAAAACCGAAAUAGCUUCAAGAUGUGUUGAUCUUGCUGAACAGUUUGCUCCAAGCAACCAAUGGUUCAUACAGGUUCUCAUUGAUUUAUUGUUUUGAAUCAGUUGGCUAAAAUGUUACCUUCAUAUUUGAGGAGAUUUUGAUUUUCUGUUUUUUCAUUUUCCAGACCAUGAAUAAAGUGUUUGAGCAUGCAGGGGACCUGGUGAAUGCUAAAGUUGCACAUAACCUGAUGAAAUUAAUUGCAGAGGGAUUUGGAGAGGAUGAUGAUACUGCAGAUAGUCAGCUUAGAUCAUCUGCUGUAUGUUUUCAUUUUGCAUCUAAAUUUGGACAUCAUCUACAUACUUGGUCUCACUUGACCUAAUUAUCAGUUAACUAUCAUCUGAAAUCAUUAGUUGGUCAAUGAAAUAAUCCAUGUGUGAUUAGCUAGCUGUUAUUUAUUAUUUUUUUUUAUUUUUAUAAUUGCAACAUUAAAUUUAAAGAGCGCGCCAUGGUGGACUUUAAUCCAAGACCUUUGGCCUCAGGCAUUGACCAUUCUACCGCUAGGCCAACACCACACACACGCUGAAUAGCUUUUUUAGAAAAAAUCAGUAUUGCUUAUAGGUGCAACUUAACUCAGUGCAAGACUAAAACUAAUCAAUGGGUUAGAUGCUGUACUUGUGACCCUAUUUGGUCUCUACAAACUCUACUAUCCCUGUAGCCUGGUUUGUUCUUGGUAUGAUGUCUGGUUUUGAUGAGGAUGCUAUUCCAAAUCUGUGAAAAUUUUGACACCCCAUUUUUUUCGUGUCCGGAAGAGGAAAAAAGUGUCAUAUUUCUUACUAGUAGGUAGUAGUGGACCAAUAUAAUUGGGAUUUUUUGGUUGUUGGUUUUGAUCAGCGCUAGUGCUUUAAGCGUCAGUCUCUAUCAAGCAUUGAUGACAUGCUUUUGAGGGCUUUGGGAACAUCAGGGUAGGCGAGGGUCAUCUGUGUAUGUCUUUCUGCGGAAGCAGGGCCUGCUUAUCAAUCCUACUAAACUUUUCUACUUUUGUUUUCACCAGUGUUGUUUAUGCUAACUUUUCUAUUUUACCUUUUCAUGAUAAAUUACAGCCUCUCUGCUUACAUUUGUUUCUUGGAGUCUAAUUUGAUGACCAAGUAAUGGCUGUGCUCAUUCUAGUAUUUCUCAUUGGAAUCUGCUAUUAUCUGUUGAGUGCAGGUGGAGUCUUAUCUUCGAAUCAUGGGCGAGCCAAAAUUACCAUCUGCUUUUCUUCAAGUAUGUUACCGAACACCCAAGAUUCCUUCUUUUACCGUAAUUUUUUCCUAAGGUUUGAAGUGACAGCUUUUCCAUCUUAAUUUUCUUUUAACCAACCAAAUUUAUACUUUCAGUCUUUUGAUUUCCUUAAUUGGUUCUCUCUCUCUCUCUCAAAGGCAAGAUUGCUCACCUCUCACCAUGCUUUCUGUAUUUUCUAAUGCUGCAGGUAAUUUGUUGGGUCUUAGGAGAAUAUGGGGUUGCAGAUGGUAAAUAUUCUGCCUCAUACAUCAUUGGGAAGUUGUGUGAUGUUGCAGAGGCACACCCAGAUGAUGAUACAGUGAAGGUAGGUAUUUAGUAUGUCAAAUUGUGCAAUAUAUCCUGUCGUGUAACUACAGUACAUUUACAAAGUUGAGCAUUGUUCCUGUGUUGUAUAUGGUACAUAUUUUUGGUUUGUUACUCGGGCUAAUUGUCUGUUCAUGUCACUCUGAAUUGUGAAAAUUGAAAACAUUGUGCAUUGAUAAUAAUUUUGUAAACUUGCGCUUCCUCCAUGCUUUAUAGUCUAUAGAAACCCAUUUUGUAUGAAUUACUGAGAAUACUGAGUUAUCUUUAUCUUUAAGGCUAGUAAGUAUUUUGAAUUUAUAGCCUAUACCCUCAUGCAAUCUGAGUCCCCAACAAAGUUGUGGUUCAAAUAGUGUCACAAUACCGUGAUAGCUGGUAGACUCAUUUACUGUUGGUGUGUGUGACGGACUGAUAGAGUAAAGGUGAUUGAGAAAAACAGAAAUAUUGCAAUAAAUAAUGGACUAUGAAAUAAGAAGAGAAAAUGAGAACUUUUGAAUGACUAGCGAGAUGGUCAUAUCUCAUGCAUUUGAAACAAAGAAUCAUUUAUUUAAUGAAAAAGUUUUUAGAGAAGCAAACUGCAAACAGGCCCUCAUCCUAGUUACCCUGCAUUUUUAAUUGGCUACAUAUCAGUACUUGAUUCUUCUAUUAUUACACUAACUUGAUAAUAUGACCCCUCCGUAAUAUCUAUUCUCCCUCUUGUUUGAAGGGAUAUGCAGUGACAGGAAUUAUGAAGAUAUAUUCAUUUGAAAUAGCGUCUGGGAAACCUGUGGACUUACUGCCCGAGGUAAACAUUUGGGGUUUUGUAUGAUAGGUUGACUUUUUAACUAUUUCUUGAGUAUAUCCAUUAUUGCUGAAAUUUAUCAUACCCAUCUCUAGUGGUAUUGUUGGUGAUAUGCAGUUUUAGAUUUCUGUUACAAGCAGUUGCUGUUUCAUAAUCAUGUCUUUGCUGUACUUAACUUUUGUGAGUGGUUUGCUCGAGGAUUCCUACUAGUUUCUGGAACUUAUCCUUCUAAUAAUCCUGCUCUUGAUUGCUAUGAUGUGGAGAUAUUUUCAUAUUUGUAACAUCUUACUUUCUACAGUGCCAGUCACUGAUUGAAGAAAUGUUGGCAUCUCACUCGACGGACCUUCAGCAGCGUGCCUAUGAGCUUCAAUCCAUCUUCACUUUAGAUGCGCAAGCUGUCAAGAAAAUAAUGCCUAUGGAUUCAACUUGUGAUGACAUUGAGGUGACAUUUUCUUUCAGAUUCAAGUAUUAAUUUGUUCAUCCUUACUAUUGGCCUUGUACUGGUUUAACUCAUUGUUGGCUUGACAUAUAAUGAAUAUUUUGAAGAGACCCACCCCCCACCCAACAUGGGUAUAAUAGCCUGUCUGCUGCCUCUGUUGGUGCUGUUUUUGGUUAUAUCUAGUGUCCACAAUGCUAAUAAUGUCUCUCAAUUUUUGCAGAUUGACAAAAACCUUUCAUUUCUAGAUGGUUAUGUCCAACAAGCAAUAGAAAAUGGUGCUCAGCCAUAUAUUCCGGAGAGUGAGCGCUUUGGAAUGUCAAGCAUUAGUAAUUUCAAGAGUCAUGACGAACACGAACCAUCUACACACGCUCUUAGGUUUGAGGCCUACGAGUUACCUAAACCAUCGCUGCCUCAGAAUGUUCCUCCAGUAUUAGCAUCCUCAUCUGAGCUUGUUCCUGUCCCAGAGCCAUCAUAUGCUGCUGAUGUCCUGCAUCCUACCUCUGUUCCAUCAGCUUCUGAUGCUGGGUCAUCGGAACUGAAACUACGACUUGAUGGGGUUCAGAAGAAGUGGGGACGACCUACUUACUCCUCUCCUGCACCAUCUAGUUCAAGCACUGAACCAGUGAAGGUUCAGAAUGAGACACCCAGACCAGACUCAGCAAGCAGUUCAAAACCAAAAACACGUGAUACAUCUUAUGAUUCAAGAAAGCAGCAAAUUGAAAUUUCUCCAGAAAAGCAAAAACUUGCGGCUUCACUUUUUGGGGGCUCAUCAAAAUCUGAGGGCAGACAGCCUCCUAGCCAGAAGAAUUUGAAAACUCAGAAUCACACUUCAGAUAAGUCUCGCUCAUCGAAGGCUUCAGCUCCUGACACUGCUGUAAAAACAUCCCAGCCACCUCCAGACUUGCUGGACUUGGGUGAACCAUCUAUUGCUAGCAGCGUACCGUCAGUAGAUCCUUUCAAGCAAUUCGAAGGUCUCUUUGAUUUUACACAAGAAACAACCCCAGCAAGUACUGGUGAAGCUGACGAUGCUACUAAAGAUUCCGAUUUCACAUCUCUUUUCGCGGACAUGUCUCUAUCUUCCCAGAGUCAUAUUGAUCCCAGUCCAGAAUCGAAUGGUCUUGGGGGAAGUAAAGCCGAACCUUCAGCUCAACAACUGAACAAGGGGCCAAAUUUGAAGGAAGCUUUGGAGAAGGAUGCACUCGUAAGACAAGUGGGUGUGACACCAUCUGGUCAGAACCCCAUCUUAUUUAAGGAUUUGCUUGGCUAGAUUUUUAUGUGAGAACCUGGAUACAAAAAUUGAGCUGGAUUCGUUGAGGAUAGCUCUCUGCCUUGGUUUCUAAGCCACGACCAACGAGGAUGCAAUCUAACGACAGGUCACGAGCAGUAGCCCUCCGGUGUUGGUAGUAGUUUCAGCUCUACUCUCUCUGUAUUGGUUGCUGGGAUGAUUCCGGUAUGUAGAAAUUCAGUAAGAGCUAGACAGUACAGGUUUUUCAACUGUCGAUACGUGUUUAUCGUCCAUGUUUAAAACCUCGGGACAAUUUUUGAAACAUUAAACGGAGUGCCGGAGACGCAUUGUGUCUUUAUUUUCACGCUGUAAUAAAAGUAUUGCUGUUAUAUCGUCUUCAACAUGCCUUGUUUUACAAAAGGCAGGUGCUUUAUAUGCUGUAUAUUGAUAAUUCAUGAACUCUAAUUGAAUUUAUUUAGUGUGAAUGCAUACAUAACCUUUGCCAUUUUGUUAAUUGCAUUCUAAUGAAUAUUUUAAUAAAAGUUAGUUGUGUAUUUGAUGAGUGGAGAAUGAAUCUCACAAAAAGUGAAGAUUGAAAGGUUAAUAGUUAGUGAAAUUAUUUUAAAACAAGUUAAGAAGAUGUUUUGAAAAGAAAUCAAAAUAAAAAGAAAUGAAGAUGAUUGAGGGAUAAAGGAACUUACUUUUUUUAACGGAUAAAGGAAAUACUUGACAAAAGAUGGCUGAUAAAUUGAUGAUUAGAUAAAAAUAGCGAUUAAUGUGCAUGUAUUGUCCUAGCGAUAGAGUAGUUAAUAUUUAAAAUCAGAGAUCUUGAAAUUGAGUUCAUAAUAUAUUUUUAAAAUUUAAUUAUUAAUUUAUCGAAAAAAAAAACCCAAUUUGAAAAUUGAUAUACGUUUCCCGCCUCUUCUCGCUCUACCCGUCGCUUUCUAUCACUCUGAAAUCAACACUACUGCCACUACUGGCAGCUCAAAUUCAAUUCCCAGAAAGGUAAAGCAAAGAAGAAAAACAAUGGAAAGUAGUGCAUCUUUUCCUGGAUCUAGGCAAUCGAAUUUGAAGAAAUCGUUCAAUCGCAGCUUGCGCUCCUUGUUAACUGCCUGCUCGGGCGAGGUGAGGGUUUUUGGUUCUCGUCGUAAUUGAUUUUGAAUUUCGCAUCGUUGACGGUGAUGUAGUUUAUACUCGUCACGGCGUUUCCAAUUUCUUUUAUUCUAAUUAAGUUUUUAUUUCACAUCAUUAAGGAAUUCCGUAAAUCUUUUCCGAGUUUUACUGCAUCUGAGCAGGAUCGACUCCAUCAGCUCUUUGUUCAGGUACCCUUUAAGUGUUUUACUCUCACUUUUUACUGUUUUUUAUUUAUUUUUUUAUUUUUAAAUUCAGUGGUAUUUGAGAUACUGUAGGAAAUUAAUGCUGUCGGCCUAAAAUCUUGAAUUAUGAAAAUAAUGAGUUUUUGGCGUGUGAGAGUAAUGCAUCUUAAGCUCAUUUGAUGACGACAUAUGCCUCAUGGUUUCGGUAAUUUCUUCUAUUCUUUGGGAUGCACCCAUGUAGGAAUCGCUUGAGAAUGCAUAGCACGGGGGAAGCAUUUGUUUGUUUGUUUUUAUCCUUCAAUCAAGAAAAAGCAAAUAUGAAAUAAAGUGCUUUAUCGAUAAAAGCAUAAACUAAUCAAGAUAUUUAUAAAAAAGGGGGGAAACUAUAGAUAGAGUCGAGAUUAACAAAGCUUUAUUUGCACUCUGUUGCAAACUUGUUAGUUAUGCAGCAAAUGAUCUGUCGGUUAGGGUACUGCAUCUACAUUUUCUUACGAGCUUAUUAGUUAUCAAACACAAAAAUGUAUUUUUGGCCAUUGCAGUGAAUCUCAUGCACAAUUAGUAUUUAUUUACUUAUUUUGCCAUUCAAAUCUUUACAUUCUAGUUCUGAAAAAUCGAUGUAAAUCUCUUACUUCAUGAAUUUUAACUGUUUCUACCUUUUUCUUUACUGUAUUUCAGGUUAUCACUUCCUUGCAUCAAGAUAUUGAGGUAUGAAAUAGAAAUAUUUGUUUGUCCUGUCGCUCACUUAGAAACUGACAUGAGGUCCAAAGUUUUGGCUACUUAUUUACUACCUACAAUUUGUUUUCAUUAUUUUAAUGACUAAAACAAUCGAUGAGUGUGUUCAGGGAACAUCUUUUGUUGAGCAUUGUUGCUUUCAUACAAGCAUGCUGUUGAUAUGUACAAAUUAAUGGAAUUUUGAUCUAACUAUGCGAACUACUUCAUCAACGAUGACAUGUGUCUUUUAUUUGAAGUUUCUAAUAUUUUCCAGCUGCUGUAGUUUGAGUUUUUAUCUGCUGCCCGUGUUUGGGUUUGUGUGUAUGUUCUUUUCUUGAUUACUUUUCUAUGUCUCUCUCUUAGUUAACAAGUUUCUAAAGAGUAUAUAUUAGUUUUUGUAAUGCGGCUCUCUAAUCUUAUAAAUGUGAUACAUAAUACUUCUUUGGUGGGAGCUGUAUAAUUAUCUUGUUUCCAUUCUGUUGGAGUAAAAUUUAUGGUAUGGGACUAAAAUCUUAUCAAGAUUUUUUUCCAUAUUUCAUUUUCAGUGGAUAAAUUGCUGCUUAUAUUCUUAAUAUUGUAAAUAUUUAGUUGGCUUUAUCAACAUUUUUACAUUUUCAUAAGAGAGAAAUGUAUUUUGACUUAUUUGAAAGAAUCAUCAAUAUUGAGAUUAGCUUCUAUAUCUUAUCUUGCAGGAACAAUUUGAGUCAAUAUUUCUCGAGACACAGGUAUUGCCCAAUGGUAUUUUGUGUAAAGAGUCAUUUUUAUGGUGUAUGAAAAUUCAAAGAACAUGGCCCUUCAAUUUCCUACUCAAUUUUCUCUGCCUGUUUGGAUGCCUUAUCUUCUGUUCCUUACAGCUGGUUAAAACUAAGGAAUCAUUUUCAAUGUUGUAGAUAGUAGCUAACGAGCUAUGUAUAAUAGGUCCUCCAAAACUUCUUAUAUUUCUCUGCAGGCAGGAACAAUUCUUGAUACUGUAGAAGAGCUGGUGGAAGAACAAACUCUGGAUCCUCUACAUUCUACAAAGUACGCCUUUAUAUCACUUAACUAACUUUGUAACUGACGACCACCUCCUACAAUAUUAGUUACUGAUUUGAAUGGUUACAUAUAUAUAUAUAUGAUUAAGUAAAUCUUUACUGUAGUAAUAAAGCUCAUAAAUUUCUACAGUCUAUACUUCUAUCUGAGUUUUCUCUAUGCAGAAACCGAUGGUAUAAACUCAUGUCUUGUUAGACAUUCUAUUUUUUGUUGAACAUGUUUCCUGAAUAGACAAUAAUGACUAAAUAUUUGCAGGAGUAAUGUAGGAGAAACGGCUCAAAAACUUAUAGAAGCAAAGAAAAAUGAGGUCAAUCUUUUAAUGGGGCUAUUGGAAAAGGUGAGCUCAAAUGACAAGAUUUCAUUACUUAUUUGAACUGAAUAGAUAAAUUUGAUUAGAGUUGAAGUAGCUUAUGAAAACUUUAUUAGCAAUAGUGUGAUUCAAAAUUUUACUUUUGCCUUCCUAAAACCCUCUUUUCGAUAAGAGAUGCAUUCCUUUUGUUUUAGAUUCUUGUUCAUCCGUUUUAUGCAGAACUUUAUUGCUUAUUUUACCUUUCGUAAAUUAGGCAGAAGAAGAGAAGUGUAAAAUGAAAGCACGUGUCGAACAACUCAAGAAAACAAAGCAAGACUUCUCCGGAGCUGCAAAUCUUGUAAAUGAGGUUUGAUUUCAGUUGAUCUUUUCUAUUUACAGUCCUACACGCGUAAUUUAAUGACACCAACUAACGAGCAUUUUUAUUCCACAGAUAAGGAACACAAUCCUGAACUAUGAGACGGGCAACCAGACUUAGCAUAUCAAUCUGUGUGAAUGCGAUUAACAUAGGUUUGAGGUCUGUAUUGUAUUCUACUUAGACUUUCGCUUUAGAUCAACAAUUAGAUUGCCUGAUCUUUGUUUCAGGAUUAGGCUUCACUAUCCACAAAUAGUGGCGUGCAGUGGGAGGCUUAUGCCUGAUUGGGUUUGGGAAAUUUACGAGCAUGUAUUAUUCUCACUUGACCUGAUAUAAUCAACUUCUUAUCGCUUUUAGUUUCUCUCAAAUCUUUCCCACAGCGUUACAGCCUAUAUCUAGUCUAAUUCCUAUCUUGCCUCUUAAGUCAGCUCAAAAGUUUAUGUAAAGCUUUUCAGACUCCACUUUUAAAUAUUUGGCUGACUUUUUUCCUGAGAGCUGAACUCCACAAUGAGAUUAUGCAAUCUAUUAUCGGUUGACCAAAUAAAAAAAGCACAAACGCGCUAUGUUAAUCUUGGUUCUGUAUCAUCAGUGCAUUACUAUGCAUGACAUAGAUAGCCUAAAAAAUUAUUUGACUUGAAUCAGAGUACAGUCAGGUUAAGAAAACCUAAUCUUGUUAGAUGCAGGCACAACACCAAAUUCAUACCUACCCCAUGAAACAUUUUGUUAUUAGCUACUCAUCCUCUUGUGUCAUGACUAGGAGUGGUCACCCUCUUAACUCAAAAAUAAUACUAAUACACAACGAAGUUUUGGACAUCUCAAUCAUAUCAUGCAGUAACAUGCACAUCGCGUGAUUGAGAAACGAUAGUCCGAACAUACGACACGUGGAGCAUCUAAGGAUGCCUUACUUAGUUUUUUUUGGAUUCAGUCAUGCCAUUUUAGUUCCCUUUAUCUUCUUACCAACUAGCUUAUGAGUUGGUUAAAUGUGUGAGUUUUUGGAUACACUAGUUUAUCAAGAAAAGCAAGCUUUAAUUUCCAUUCCUUGUCUGUAUACCCAUGAAUCUAGCUGACUAGUACAAGGGAAUAUGAAAGCCUGGCAGUGCCUAUGUUUAUACAAAAUGUUUAUCACAUUAAUAUUUUACUCUUAUACUUUUAGCAGUAUUCAUGGUGGUUGACAUUUCGAAUAACUAUUGUUUAGUCGCAUUAGUUCAUGUCCUUCUUUACGAAUAACAAUUGUUUCAGCAUUUGACCUGUCCUUUUUGUCUGAUCUCAUCACUUGUUUCAUAUGGAAAAAAAAAAUUGUUUAGGAUGAUUGAAUUAUUAUUAUUAUUGCUGUUUUUGGGUUUAUUAUGCAAAGUCAUUGAACCAUCUUGAUGCCAGCUUUUAUUUAGGUUGUUUUUUAUUAGGGUCAGAAUCAAGGCUCCAUCUUUGGUGUAUAUAACUUCUGAUGAGAUAAUAAAAAGAUUGUGGUUUGGCAGGUGAUGGUUUCUGAAACAAACUCUUGUUUAUUUAUUUGUUAGAUUGUGCAGUCAACUCUAAAUUAUUUGAAUUAGUUAAGCUUGAAUACGAACAGAAAUCAAAAUUGAAUUCUUUCAAAUCAUAGUUUAAAUGUUUGACAUAAUAAUCUUGAUGACAGAAGUAGACACUUGGAAGAGCUUUUGUUGCUAUCGAUUUACGACUUUGUGGAGAUUGUGACAAACGGCGUGCAAUAAAUCUUUGGUUUCGUUUACUUUUUUAUUUUCUUUUGUUUUUAAUGAAGGAUGGAUAUUUUGGAGUUUAAAGUUCUCAAUUAAUAUUAUCAUAGUCAAACAAUCAAUCAGAUUGAGUGCAUAAUGCAGAUAUUAUGAUGAUUGAAUUAGAAAGCUGUGAAUAUGAGCAUAGUGUAUUUCAGUAACUAGAAUUUGAAUAUCAUUCGAGAAAAUUUGACAUGAUUUCUGAAACUGGUUGGGGUUAUAUGCUAAUGAAUCUUAUAUUCUUCUCCAUACAAAAGAUAAACAAAAACUAUAUUUGUUGGAGGUGUGAAGAUGAUGACGAAGUAAAUAUAUGGUGGAUUUGCCUAAUUAAAUUAUUAUUAUGAUUAUUAGAGCCGAAGAAGCAAUAUAACUUGAUCACUAUUAACAAUUUGCAGUUAUUUUCUACGCGUGUAGAUCCCACCAUGUUGAGGACUGCACAUGAGUUUUUGCAUAACAAUCUAGAGGGUUUGUGACUUGUCACGAAUGAGGACUUUAAGAAGGGGUUCACUUUUCAUGAUUUAUAAAAUAUAUGAUUGAAUAUUUUUAUCUUUAUUAUUUAAUAUUUUCAGUCUCACUCUUUCAAUGAGAUAUGAAUCAAGUAAAAUUAUUUAAAAUAUUCCCUUCGUCCAUUGAUCUUGUCUUGUUUUUUUUUGGAUUGUCCUAUUAAUCAUGUCAUGUUUCUAUAUUUGAUAAGAUUUUAGCUACAAAAAUAUGGCCUCACAAUAUUUACACAUUUUACUACAUAAUUAUACCCUUUUAAUAACUGUGCCCAAAAAAAAAUGGGACAAGCCUAAUGAGAUUAUGAGAUGAAGGGAGUAAUAUAUAAAUAUAUUUCAAAGUUUCAAUCUAAUUUUUUUUUAGGAGACAACAGAAGAAAAGUUUUAUUCAAAUAAUGUCUUCUUCAACAAUACUUAUAAGUCACAAGCCAAUUCAGGAAGUCAUGUAUACACCUCAUCGGUUGUACACGAUUCUUAGCGAACUCGGUAAGAGAAUGCACGGCUCCAUUGGCCGAUCAAUCUAUACUAAUAGAAAAACAGCAUAACGUAAUCUAAGACACAACUUGUGGAUUACUUAUUUUAUUUUUGUUCUAUAUUUAUUAUUAUAUUUAUAAACUAUAAAUCUAUUUUGAUAUACAUUUAUUUGUCAUCCAAAUCUAUAAAGAAUACUUAUUUUGCAUUAGAAAAGAGCCUUAGACACAAUAUGUGGAUUGCCUAUUUUACCCAUAUUACAUAUUUUAUUUUAAGGUUAUAUUACAUAUUACUCCCUCCGUCCUGAAAUAUUAAUUCAUAUAUUUUUAAAUCCAAAUAUAUCUAUAGUAUUCUAGGCUUACAAAUACAAUAUAAUAUCAAUAAUUUAUUUAUCUAUCAAUCAAAUACCAUUUUCCUUAAAACCCGUGCCGUCCCCAAAGAGGAACUAUUUUGGGGACGGAGGGAGUAUAUAUUUAUAAGAAUAUAUCAAUUCAUUAGAUAUUACAUUAAAUCUAUGCGAUAUAUAUUUAUAGCUAUUGAUAAGGCUUAUAAAUAAAUAUAUUCAUCCAAUAAAUUAUCUAAUAAAAGUAAUGAAUUAAUAAUUUUUUUAAAUAAUAAAUUAUCAAUUAAAAUAACAUUAAUUACACGUACAACGUACGUUCUUUCUGCUAGUAAAUAUGAAAAACACCAAGAAGCAUGGUAUUCCGGACUGCUUUGAGAAUGUUAACAUAUGGUUCGGGAGCAGCACUUGCUUUUCCUCUUGGUUCGCCAUGACUCUUGUAGCCAAUCUUUUUUUUUUUCCUUUUCUUUUGAGGAAAACAUAGAUCAUUUAUUAAGCACAAACACAUGGAGUAAGGAGAAAACCCUCCACAAAUAACGAAGGUUCAUCCCACACAUACGUAGAAGAAAAAUUCUUAAAAUAACGAGUUAACCUAUGCGCCACCACAUUAGCUUAUCAGUAUCUCCUAACAUUAAGAACUCUAAAGUUAAGCUUAUUUCGUAGUCGUGACAACAGCUCACAAUAGAACCAACUAGAAUCUAUCCUCGUCUCAAUCACCCAGACUGUUCACAACAAUUCUGCAAUCAUAUCGAAACUUCACAGUAUCAAGAUGCAUCUCCUUUAGCCUAUCCUUAAAAAAGAAACUCUUUAAAUUAGUUGGACCACCAGGCUCGAAAUACAUCUUACUAUAUCUUAGGCCUAUCCAUCUGGAAUUGUAGAUCAUAUCAUAGUAAAUGCCUAGUUACUUUGAUAAAAGGGCCAAUGUGGUCUCAAUUCUCAAACAUAUAAGCAAAAAUAAUAAAAAAAUGAAGAGAGAGAGAGAAUAGUGAUGGCUGCAUAUAGGUAUAGUGAGGGACAUUGAAUUCAAGAAGUCAAAUGUGGAUCUGGUCCAUUGAUACACAAACACAUGCAGGCACACAAUGCGAACAUGAUCAGAUCAAACUUUUUUUGACAACAAAGUUUUGACUCAAACCUAUUCAUGCCUUACAAACUGUCUCCUCAUUCAUUAAAAAAAAAAAAAAAAAAAAAAACAAAAAGAAAGCAGAGCAGUCUUUUUUGAACUAUUCAUGCCAUUUCAUUCAUAUAAUAUCUACUAAUAAUAAAGGGAAGUAAAUGGAUACGCAGCAAUGUAAUUUAAGCCGGAUAUUAUAUGGUAUGAUAUUAUUAUUUAUUAGGUCCCAUAUAUGUUCAAAUUAUGAGAUAGUGUUUAUUAUUAGUCAUGUGUUGAAUUUGGUGUAGUGGCCCUAUUUGUGCUGUCAAUUACGACUCAAUGAAAAAGAAAAUCCAGAAGAUUUUCAGUCUUUGAAACAUCUAAUCAAAAGAUAACGCUCCACAUUGUAGCAUUUUUGUCCAAGAUGGGAACAGUUGGAAUUCAUGUACCUCACAAAUGUUUGAUUUUCAACUUAAUUAAUAGUGCAAAUAUUCUUGCAUGUGUGGAAUUAAUACAUGAAUCUCAGCAAAUAAUAAACCUGAAUAUAUAUAUAAGAAGAAUUUGAAGGUUGCCAAAACUGAGACUGGAGAUUUUGAUUGAUUUGCCUUGCGGACUUUUUACAUAUGAGAGAAAGCAAAAUGAAAAAUGAAAAAUGAAAAAUAAGAAAUGAGAAAUGAAGAAGGGCUAAAAUACAAAGAAUUUGUCUAGCUAAAUAGCUACUUGAUGAGAUGAUGUAGGAGUGUGGAGAGGAGAGAAUGAAUCCUUUCUCAGUUUCUUGAAACUCUUGCUGUACAAUUGGUGUCACCACCCACCAGAAAUCUUCUUCUGAUUGGUGGGCUGCCUCCAUUUUCCAUCAUUAUUCUGAAAUCUAUUUAUCUUGCUUUUCUACUUGGCAGGAAACAUGCUUUGCAUUUGGACACAACACAACACAACACAUAGUUGUUAGUUGGGCUUAUGUUGUUAAUUUGAGGUUGUCUUGAGAGAGAUCUUGAUGGGCAGACCAUUCUGGGGAAGAGGGAAGGGUCCAUACUGGAUUCCAUUCUGUGGGGCCAUCAUAGACCACCUGCAAAUUAUUCAACAAUCUUAUCACCUCACUGCCAUACUACUAUUUUAGGACACAACAACAACUAACUACAACCUUUUUUUUGUCUUUUUUUUUUCCUACAGAUUAAUUAAUUGUAACUAAGAAUUGAUGUUAUCUACAUUUAACUUCCACCUACCUAUACUUUGUGGUGAGAUGAUGUAAUAAAACCAAGAUCUCCAGCUUGGCUAGCUCAUUCCCUGGGCAUGAGUGGAUCCCAUUGCCAAAUGGCAUGAAUGUAUUGGGCUUUGGAGCAACCUGUCACAUUAUGAUAAAUUUCUCUUUAGUGAAAAUGAAAAAAAAAAUUAUCAUGCAUUCUUUCUAUGAUUGAAACAAAUAUCUUCUCCUACAUGAAUGAAAAAAUUUUGUGGGCCUCAAUGUUUACCUCAAAUCUUGAAGGAUCAAACUUCUCUGGCUCUGGGAAAUUUUCUGGAUUAUGGUGAAUGUUUCUGAAUAGUGGCAGCACCUUCCACCCUUUUGGAAUCAAAUAUCCUGUUCAAAUUUGAAGAGAAGCAAUCUCAGUAAAAAAAAAUUAUUAAUAGUUGAGUCUCAUUCUAACAUGUAACUAACUAACUAGCUAACUAACUCACCAUUAAACUCAACAUCUUCCACAGCUUCUCUAAAUGUGAAGGAUAAAAUUGAGGCAACUCUGAGUGUUUCUUGAAUAACCCUUGUAGAAAUUGGCAUACUCUUUGUGUCAGCCCAAUUGAGAAGCUUCUCCUCACCAGCUUCCUCCUUGGCCUUAAUUAUGGCCUCUUGCUCUUCCUAAUAUAAACAAGACCAGUUUGUCAGUUUUCAGACAAGCAAGUUGCAAGAUAAAAAAAAAAAAAAAAGAUUCUUGUUGCAGAUUCUUACAGUGACUGCUUGCAGCACACUUGGAUUUUCUGCAAGGUACUUGAGAAUCCAUGUCAUGAUGCUAGCUGUGGUGUCACGGGCGGCGAAGAUGACCCCGAUUAUGUUGUCGGCGAUCUGCUCGUCGGUGAGGCCCUCGGAUUCCUCCAUGAAUGAUCCCAGCAGAUCAUUGUAUUGCUGCUUCGUCUCCCUCCUAACCGACAGAAUCUUGGCCAAGAUUCUCGAUAGCUCCUUCCUUGCUUUCAUGGCCUUGUGGAAGAGCGUCCCGGGCAAGUUGAUGGGCAUCGAGUUGUACCCUUUUCGAGAAUGUAAUAACAGCUCUUCAGAUCUUCUCUGUACUGCCCUUCAUCCUUUCCCAAAAUGGAGAGCACUGCCACAUUGAAUGCAUACUGCAAAAGAUUCCCCAAACAUGGUCAGACAGAAUGUUUCAAGAAACAGGGGACUCUGUUUUCCCCUGUUUUCCUCUGUUUUCCCCUGUUUUUCUUUUUUUCUACUCACUGUUUUCAUUUCUUGGAAAGUGGUGAUGAGGUUCCCAUCCCAUGAGCGGAGGGCGUCGACAGCGAUGGACUCGACCUCGGAGACGAUGCCCUUGAUGGCCUCGGGCAUGAAGGCUCUGAGGACGAGCUUCCUGAGCUUGGCGUGGUAGUCGCCCUGGUGGAAGAAGAUGGCUUGCUUCCCCAGCAUCCUCUCUUUGCUCGCCGGGAAUGUGGGCUUGAAGAGAUGCGCAUUCGUCACCAGCACCUGCUUCGCGGCUUCCGGGCUCGCGAUCAUCACGCAGGGGCACCCCAGUAUGUGGCUCUUGAAUAUCGACCCAUACCUGUUCAGCAACAAUUAAACUUAGUUAGAAACGUUCAUGAUCCCGAAAGUGAGAAACAGGGGACUCUGUUUUUCCCCUGUUUUCCCCUGUUUUCCCCUGUUUUAGAAAAUGUUGUUGAUUGGGCUUACUUCUUGAGUUUGGAGGCGAAGAAGGUGUUGGGGUUCUGGGAGUAGAGCUGGAAGGUUUCUCCGAUGUAGGGCCAGCCGAGGGUGCCGGGAGGGAGGGGGAGCUUGACGUUGCCGGAGGUGAAGAGGGAGAGGAAGUAGUUGAAGAGGAAGAGGGAGAAGGCUGCGGUGGCGAUGAGAGAGAAGAGUAGGGAGAUGGAAUCCAUGGUGUUUGGUUGUGUGUUUUUGAGAUGAGAAGUUGGGGAAGGAGGGUGGGUAUAUAUAGGGGAUGGGAGGCCCUUUCAAUUACAGCUCGAAUCCCACACACGGAAUCUCCCUCCAGCUCAUGCAAUUGUGAGCUAGAGAGAGAAAGAGAGGGGGGUUUUCUGUUUUGGUAUAUUGGUGUAAUUUUAUGUAUGCAUAUGCAAGUACAUGUGUAUGAUGAGAGAGAGAGAGAGAGAUGUGAGAGGGACACGCAGAAAGGAUUAGGAGAGACAAGAAAAAAUAGAAUAAUUUAAAAAAAAAUUAGAGAAAAAGGAGAGACAAGAAAAAAUAGAAUAAUUAAAAAAAAAUUAGAGAAAAAAGAAAGAAGAAAGAAAAGGGGCGUGUGGUUGACCAUAAGUGGUGUAGUUGAGGUAUGGUUUAUGAUUAAAAGAGUUGCGAGGAAACAACCCUUUUUGGCUUCAAUACCAAAACGUAUACAUUUGGGAUGCAUUGCAUACCCCCCAUCCG